UUAAGCGACUAAGCGUACACGGUGGAUGCCCUGGCAGUCAGAGGCGAUGAAGGACGUGCUAAUCUGCGAUAAGCGUCGGUAAGGUGAUAUGAACCGUUAUAACCGGCGAUUUCCGAAUGGGGAAACCCAGUGUGUUUCGACACACUAUCAUUAACUGAAUCCAUAGGUUAAUGAGGCGAACCGGGGGAACUGAAACAUCUAAGUACCCCGAGGAAAAGAAAUCAACCGAGAUUCCCCCAGUAGCGGCGAGCGAACGGGGAGCAGCCCAGAGCCUGAAUCAGUGUGUGUGUUAGUGGAAGCGUCUGGAAAGGCGCGCGAUACAGGGUGACAGCCCCGUACACAAAAAUGCACAUGCUGUGAGCUCGAUGAGUAGGGCGGGACACGUGGUAUCCUGUCUGAAUAUGGGGGGACCAUCCUCCAAGGCUAAAUACUCCUGACUGACCGAUAGUGAACCAGUACCGUGAGGGAAAGGCGAAAAGAACCCCGGCGAGGGGUGAAAAGAACCUGAAACCGUGUACGUACAAGCAGUGGGAGCACGCUUAGGCGUGUGACUGCGUACCUUUUGUAUAAUGGGUCAGCGACUUAUAUUCUGUAGCAAGGUUAACCGAAUAGGGGAGCCGAAGGGAAACCGAGUCUUAACUGGGCGUUAAGUUGCAGGGUAUAGACCCGAAACCCGGUGAUCUAGCCAUGGGCAGGUUGAAGGUUGGGUAACACUAACUGGAGGACCGAACCGACUAAUGUUGAAAAAUUAGCGGAUGACUUGUGGCUGGGGUGAAAGGCCAAUCAAACCGGGAGAUAGCUGGUUCUCCCGAAAGCUAUUUAGGUAGCGCCUCGUGAAUUCAUCUCCGGGGUAGAGCACUGUUUCGGCAAGGGGUCAUCCCGACUUACCAACCCGAUGCAAACUGCGAAUACCGGAGAAUGUUAUCACGGGAGACACACGGCGGGUGCUAACGUCCGUCGUGAAGAGGGAAACAACCCAGACCGCCAGCUAAGGUCCCAAAGUCAUGGUUAAGUGGGAAACGAUGUGGGAAGGCCCAGACAGGGAUGUUGGCUUAGAAGCAGCCAUCAUUUAAAGAAAGCGUAAUAGCUCACUGGUCGAGUCGGCCUGCGCGGAAGAUGUAACGGGGCUAAACCAUGCACCGAAGCUGCGGCAGCGACGCUGAUGCGUUGUUGGGUAGGGGAGCGUUCUGUAAGCCUGCGAAGGUGUGCUGUGAGGCAUGCUGGAGGUAUCAGAAGUGCGAAUGCUGACAUAAGUAACGAUAAAGCGGGUGAAAAGCCCGCUCGCCGGAAGACCAAGGGUUCCUGUCCAACGUUAAUCGGGGCAGGGUGAGUCGACCCCUAAGGCGAGGCCGAAAGGCGUAGUCGAUGGGAAACAGGUUAAUAUUCCUGUACUUGGUGUUACUGCGAAGGGGGGACGGAGAAGGCUAUGUUGGCCGGGCGACGGUUGUCCCGGUUUAAGCGUGUAGGCUGGUUUUCCAGGCAAAUCCGGAAAAUCAAGGCUGAGGCGUGAUGACGAGGCACUACGGUGCUGAAGCAACAAAUGCCCUGCUUCCAGGAAAAGCCUCUAAGCAUCAGGUAACAUCAAAUCGUACCCCAAACCGACACAGGUGGUCAGGUAGAGAAUACCAAGGCGCUUGAGAGAACUCGGGUGAAGGAACUAGGCAAAAUGGUGCCGUAACUUCGGGAGAAGGCACGCUGAUAUGUAGGUGAAGCGACUUGCUCGUGGAGCUGAAAUCAGUCGAAGAUACCAGCUGGCUGCAACUGUUUAUUAAAAACACAGCACUGUGCAAACACGAAAGUGGACGUAUACGGUGUGACGCCUGCCCGGUGCCGGAAGGUUAAUUGAUGGGGUUAGCCGCAAGGCGAAGCUCUUGAUCGAAGCCCCGGUAAACGGCGGCCGUAACUAUAACGGUCCUAAGGUAGCGAAAUUCCUUGUCGGGUAAGUUCCGACCUGCACGAAUGGCGUAAUGAUGGCCAGGCUGUCUCCACCCGAGACUCAGUGAAAUUGAACUCGCUGUGAAGAUGCAGUGUACCCGCGGCAAGACGGAAAGACCCCGUGAACCUUUACUAUAGCUUGACACUGAACAUUGAGCCUUGAUGUGUAGGAUAGGUGGGAGGCUUGGAAGUGUGGACGCCAGUCUGCAUGGAGCCGACCUUGAAAUACCACCCUUUAAUGUUUGAUGUUCUAACGUUGACCCGUAAUCCGGGUUGCGGACAGUGUCUGGUGGGUAGUUUGACUGGGGCGGUCUCCUCCUAAAGAGUAACGGAGGAGCACGAAGGUUGGCUAAUCUGGUCGGACAUCAGGAGGUUAGUGCAAUGGCAUAAGCCAGCUUGACUGCGAGCGUGACGGCGCGAGCAGGUGCGAAAGCAGGUCAUAGUGAUCCGGUGGUUCUGAAUGGAAGGGCCAUCGCUCAACGGAUAAAAGGUACUCCGGGGAUAACAGGCUGAUACCGCCCAAGAGUUCAUAUCGACGGCGGUGUUUGGCACCUCGAUGUCGGCUCAUCACAUCCACGGGGCUGAAGUAGGUCCCAAGGGUAUGGCUGUUCGCCAUUUAAAGUGGUACGCGAGCUGGGUUUAGAACGUCGUGAGACAGUUCGGUCCCUAUCUGCCGUGGGCGCUGGAGAACUGAGGGGCUGCUCCUAGUACGAGAGGACCGGAGUGGACGCAUCACUGGUGUUCGGGUUGUCAUGCCAAUGGCACUGCCCGGUAGCUAAAUGCGGAAGAGAUAAGUGCUGAAAGCAUCUAAGCACGAAACUUGCCCCGAGAUGAGUUCUCCCUGACUCCUUGAGAGUCCUGAAGGAACGUUGAAGACGACGACGUUGAUAGGCCGGGUGUGUAAGCGCAGCGAUGCGUUGAGCUAACCGGUACUAAUGAACCGUGAGGCUUAACCU
rnacentral:rRNA from 1 species